rnacentral:tRNA from 1 species
GGAGGGAUAGCUCAGUGGUUAAGAGCACUGAUUGUUCUUCCAGAGGUCUUAAGUUCAAUUCCCAACCACACGG